AGGAUUUUCUGAGUAGCGGCGAGCGAAAAGAAAUCAGUUCAGCACUAAAUGAUUUUGUUUUUUUUGCAAAUAUCAGAUGUAGUGUAUGGAAUAUCAAUAUUCUAAUAUGAUAAAUUAAUUGUCUAAGUCCUUCUUAAACGAGGCCAUUUACCCAUAGAGGGUGCUAGGCCCGUUAUGACAUUAAUGAUUAUUAGAUGAUAGCUCCUAAGAGUCGUGUUGCUUGAUAGUGCAGCACUAAUUGGGUGGUAAACUCCAUCUAAAACUAAAUAUAACCACGAGACCGAUAGCAAACAAGUACCGUGAGGGAAAGUUGAAAAGAACUCUGAAUAGAGAGUUAAAUAGUACGUGAAACUGCUUAGAGGUUAAGCCCGAUGAACCUAAAUAUCCUAAAUAUGAAAAAUUCAUCAUUAGCAUUGUUAUAUGUAGUAAAAUAUAUAUAAUAUAUAUAGUGUGCAAUUUUUUCAUAUACGGACAUUGUAAUCUAUUAAUUUGAAUAAUAUUUAUCAUAAGAUUUAUUUAUGCGGUUUAUUUUUGUCUGUAUUUAUAUGAACUUAAAUAAAGUAGAUAAUAUCGGAUAAAUGAUUGAUAGAUUGUAUAUAAUAUGAUGCUUACAUUUCGAUGUUAUAAUAUUUAUGAAAUAUAUAUAUUUGAUAAUAAUUAUAUGCAUUUAUAUGAUUGACAAUGCUUAAGAUUUAGGAUACCUUCGGGACCCGUCUUGAAACACGGACCAAGGAGUCUAACAUGUGUGCAAGUCAUUGGGUAUAUUUUUUUUUUGAAUAAAAAAGAAAAUUUAUAAACCUAAUGGCAUAAUUAACUUAACUUUUUAAAAGAUGGGAUGAAUUUGUGAAUAUUUAUUUAUUUGAUGAAUGCAAUCCCGGGGCGUUCUAUAUAGUUAUGUAUAUGAAUGAAUGAAUAAUUUGUUUUUUAUAUCUCUAACUGGAGCGUACCUUGAGCAUAUAUGCUGUGACCCGAAAGAUGGUGAACUAUACCUGAUCAGGUUGAAGUCAGGGGAAACCCUGAUGGAAGACCGAAACAGUUCUGACGUGCAAAUCGAUUGUCAGAAUUGGGUAUAGGGGCGAAAGACCAAUCGAACUAUCUAGUAGCUGGUUCCCUCCGAAGUUUCCCUCAGGAUAGCUGGAGCAUUGAAAAUUUAUAUAAAAUAAUCUUAUCUGGUAAAGCGAAUGAUUAGAGGCCUUAGGGUCGAAACGAUCUUAACCUAUUCUCAAACUUUAAAUGGGUAAGAACGUAAACUUUCUUGGUAUGAAGUUUUACGUUAUGAUAUAUUGUGCCCAGUGGGCCACUUUUGGUAAGCAGAACUGGCGCUGUGGGAUGAACCAAACGUUAUGUUAAGGUGCCAAAAUUAACAACUCAUUCAGAAACCAUGAAAGGCGUUGCUUGCUUAAAACAGCAGGACGGUGGACAUGGAAGUCGUAAUCCGCUAAGGAGUGUGUAACAACUCACCUGCCGAAGCAAAUAGCCCUUAAAAUGGAUGGCGCUCAAGUUGUAUACCUAUACAUGACCGUUAAUAUAAAUGAUUUAUUAUUUGUAAAAAAGUGAUAAAUUUUGAAAUAUUAAUGAGUAGGAGGGUACAAUGGUGUGCAUAGAAGUGUUUACCGUAAGGUUGCAUGGAGCCGCUAUUGGUACAGAUCUUGGUGGUAGUAGCAAAUAAUCGAAUGAGACCUUGGAGGACUGAAGUGGAGAAGGGUUUCGUGUGAACAGUGGUUGAUCACGAGUUAGUCGGUCCUAAGUUCUAGGCGAAAGCCGUAAAAUUAUAAGUUUUGAAUAAUAUAUAUAUAUAUAUAUAUAUAAUCUUAUAUAUUUGAUUGAACGAAAGGGAAUACGGUUCCAAUUCCGUAACCUGUUGAGUAUACGUUUGUUAUUAAAAAUGGUCUUAUGAUCAUCCUGGCAACAGAAACAACCAUAAAGAAGCCGUCGAGAGGUAUCGGAAGAGUUUUCUUUUCUGCUUUAUAGUCGUACUACCAUGGAAGUCUUUCGAAGAGAGAUAUGGUAGAUGGACUAGAAGAGCAUGGCAUUUACUGCUGUGUCGAUAUUUUCUCCUCGGACCUUGAAAAUUUAUGGUGGGGUCACGCAAACAUCUUAACAGGCCGUACCAAUAUCCGCAGCUGGUCUCCAAGGUGAAGAGUCUCUAGUCGAUAGAAUAAUGUAGGUAAGGGAAGUCGGCAAAUUAGAUCCGUAACUUCGGGAUAAGGAUUGGCUCUGAAGAUUGAGAUAAUCGGGCUUGAUUGGGAAACAAUAAUAUGGUUUAUGUGCUCGUUCUGGGUAAAUAGAAUUUAUAAGAAUUUAUUUUUAUAUUUUUGUUCCCCGGAUAGAAGUUUACUUAACCAAUUGUGGAACUUUCUUGCUAAUAAUAUAUUUAAUUGUAUAUUGAUAGUUUGUAAAAGAAUUAUUAAUGUAUAUUAUAUAUUUAUAACGGUUAUCAAUUAACAAUCAAUUCAGAACUGGCACGGACUUGGGGAAUCCGACUGUCUAAUUAAAACAA
rnacentral:rRNA from 1 species